GUACUAGUAGCUCAACGACUAAAGCCUCGGUCUUGUAAACCGAACAUAAGGGUUAAAAUCCCUUCUAGCACU
rnacentral:tRNA from 1 species